rnacentral:rRNA from 1 species
GGUCACGGGGCGCAGCCUGAUGCAGCGACGCCGCGUGAGGGAUGACGGCCUUCGGGUUGUAAACCUCAAACAGCUCUGACGAAGCCCGCUUGCGGGUGACGGUAGGAGCAGAAGAAGCACCGGCUAACUACGUGCCAGCAGCCGCGGUAAUACGUAGGGUGCGAGCGUUGUCCGGAAUUAUUGGGCGUAAAGAGCUUGUAGGCGGCUUGUCGCGUCUGCUGUGAAAGCCCGGGGCUUAACCCCGGGUCUGCAGUGGGUACGGGCAGGCUAGAGUGUGGUAGGGGAGACUGGAAUUCCUGGUGUAGCGGUGGAAUGCGCAGAUAUCAGGAGGAACACCGAUGGCGAAGGCAGGUCUCUGGGCCAUUACUGACGCUGAGAAGCGAAAGCGUGGGGAGCGAACAGGAUUAGAUACCCUGGUAGUCCACGCCGUAAACGUUGGGCGCUAGGUGUGGGUCCCAUUCCACGGGGUCCGUGCCGCAGCUAACGCAUUAAGCGCCCCGCCUGGGGAGUACGGCCGCAAGGCUAAAACUCAAAUGAAUUUGACGGGGA